CGGCCACUCAGAGCGUUUCCCGGCGGUGUCCAGCAGGGGGCGCCAUCCCCCCGUUAAAACUCAUUGCGGCCAAUGGGGAACGGCUGGAACCCGGCAGCGACCGGCUCAGAGUCACCGACAGCCAAGAGUGUGGGGUGAGACCCUAUAGGGGACCCUAUAAGGAACCCUAUAAGGGACCCUAUAACAACAGACCCUAUAAGGGACCCUAUAACAUACCCUAUAACAACAGACCCCAUAACAGACCCCAUAACCGGCCCUAUAAGGCCCUAUAGGGGACCCCACAGCCAGCAGUGUGGGGUGAGACCCUAUAGGGGACCCUAUAACCGGCCCUAUAGGGGACCCUAUAUAACAACAGACCCCAUAACAGACCCCAUAACCGGCCCUAUAAGGGACCCCAGAACCGGCCCUAUAAGGGACCCUAUAACAGACCCUAUAAGGGACCCUAUAAGGAACCCUAUAAGGAACCCUAUAAGGGACCCUAUAACAUACCCUAUAAGGGACCCUAUAACAGACCCUAUAACAACAGACCCCAUAACAGACCCUAUAACAGACCCUAUAAGGGACCCUAUAAGGGACCCUAUAACUGGCCCUAUAACAGACCCUAUAAGGGACCCUAUAAGGGACCCUAUAAGGAACCCUAUAAGGGACCCUAUAACAGACCCUAUAAGGGACCCUAUAAGGGACCCUAUAAGGGACCCUAUAACAUACCCCAUAACCAGCCCUAUAAGGGACCCUAUAACAGACCCUAUAAGGGACCCUAUAAGGGACCCUAUAAGGGACCCUAUAACCGGACCUAUAAGGGAUCCCAUAACAGACCCUAUAACAGACCCUAUAAGGGACCCUAUAAGGGACCCUAUAACCAGCUCUAUAAGGGACCCUAUAGGGGACCCUAUAACAGACCCUAUAACAGGACCCAUAACCGGCCCUAUAAAGGACCCCACAGCCAGCAGUGUGGGGUGAGACCCUAUAGGGGACCCUAUAAGGGACCCUAUAACAACAGACCCCAUAACCGGCCCUAUAAGGGACCCUAUAAGGAGUCCUAUAAGGGACCCCAUAACAGACCCUAUAAGGAACCCCAUAACUGGCCCUAUAAGGGACCCUAUAACAGACCCUAUAACAGACCCUAUAAGGGACCCUAUAACAGACCCUAUAAGGAACCCUAUAACAGACCCUAUAAGGGACCCUAUAUAACUACAGACCCCAUAACAGACCCCAUAACCGGCCCUAUAAGGGACCCUAUAAGGGACCCUAUAACAGACCCUAUAAGGGACCCUAUAAGGGACCCUAUAACAGACCCCAUAACCGGCCCUAUAGGGGAUCCCAUAACCGGCCCUAUAAGGGAUCCCAUAACCAACCCUAUAACAGACCCUAUAAGGAACCCUAUAAGGAACCCUAUAAGGGACCCUAUAAGGAACCCUAUAACAGACCCUAUAAGGGACCCUAUAA
rnacentral:lncRNA from 1 species